CAGGCCUAACACAUGCAAGUCGAACGGUAACAGGUCUUCGGAUGCUGACGAGUGGCGAACGGGUGAGUAAUACAUCGGAACGUGCCCGAUCGUGGGGGAUAACGCAGCGAAAGCUGUGCUAAUACCGCAUACGAUCUACGGAUGAAAGCGGGGGAUCUUCGGACCUCGCGCGGACGGAGCGGCCGAUGGCAGAUUAGGUAGUUGGUGGGGUAAAGGCCCACCAAGCCUGCGAUCUGUAGCUGGUCUGAGAGGACGACCAGCCACACUGGGACUGAGACACGGCCCAGACUCCUACGGGAGGCAGCAGUGGGGAAUUUUGGACAAUGGGCGAAAGCCUGAUCCAGCCAUGCCGCGUGAGUGAUGAAGGCCUUAGGGUUGUAAAGCUCUUUUGUCCGGGACGAUAAUGACGGUACCGGAAGAAUAAGCCCCGGCUAACUUCGUGCCAGCAGCCGCGGUAAU
rnacentral:rRNA from 1 species